GUUCCCUGUGGACGUUUGAAAAAUGUGGCGUUUAGGAGGUUGUGUGCUGAAGCUGGGCUGUGCAGCAAGUCCCCCUGACCGGGGCUGUUACCCAGAGUGGGUGCGAGGCCCAUAGCUGUUUAGCUCGCUUCGGAUGUGACCUCUUUGGAGUCGGGUUGCUUGGGAGUGCAGCCUUAAGUGGGUGGUAAACUCCACCUAAGACUAAAUACGGCCAUGAGACCGAUAGCAAACAAGUACCGUGAGGGAAAGUUGCAAAGAACUUUGAAGAGAGAGUUCAAGAGUACGUGAAACUGUUCAGAAGCAAACGGGUGGGCUCUCGAAAUCCUCCAGUGGGGGGAUUCAGUUGGUGGAAGCUGAGGUGGCAUGUGGCUUCAUCGGACUCUGUCUGGAGCCGGGUCACUGCCACGGUCUUGGCUGCAACUAACGCAUUUCCUCCCACUUAUGGACGCCGCAUCCAGUUGGGUCUUUGCAAGUCGGCCAUGAGGGCAGGCAUUGGAAGGUGGCCGGUGACGUCUCAUUUCGUCGCCGGUUGUUAUCCGGCCUGCCUGAGGCAAGACACCUGACUGAGGUUGAAUUGUUCCUUUGCAGGAACUUGCCGUGCCCUUCGAAGCAGGUGCUGACAAGUGCUUUACGGUCCACCUUUUUCACUGUUUCAGUGUGGGGUGCCUUAGAUUCACUGUUGGGCGGCUGCGGCUAGCGGCGAGUGAGUCGGUCACCCACCCGACCCGUCUUGAAACACGGACCAAGGAGUCUAACAUGUGCGCGAGUCAUGGGGUCUUGUGUAGGCCCAAAGGCGCAAUGAAAGUGAAGGCUGGUCUAGUGCUGGCUGUGUUGGGAUCUCCCGUCCUCUGUGGCGGGUGAGCACCAACGAUCCGUCCUUUUCGAUUCAUCGAUUGGGCGGAAUCAGAGCGUACACGUUGGGACCCGAAAGACGCCGAACUAUGCCUGGGCAGGACGAAGCCAGAGGAAAC
rnacentral:rRNA from 1 species